CCUACGGGAGGCAGCAGUGAGGAAUAUUGGUCAAUGGGCGGGAGCCUGAACCAGCCAAGCCGCGUGAGGGAAGAAGGUACAGCGUAUCGUAAACCUCUUUUGUCAGGGAACAAAGGCGGGGACUAGUCCCCGGAUGAGGGUACCUGAAGAAAAAGCAUCGGCUAACUCCGUGCCAGCAGCCGCGGUAAUACGGAGGAUGCGAGCGUUAUCCGGAUUUAUUGGGUUUAAAGGGUGCGCAGGCGGCCUGUUAAGUCAGCGGGAAAAGCCCGGGGCUCAACCCCGGCGAGCCGUUGAAACUGGCGGGCUGGAGUUGGAGAGAAGUACGCGGAAUGUGCGGUGUAGCGGUGAAAUGCUUAGAUAUCGCGCAGAACCCCGAUUGCGAAGGCAGCGUACCGGCUCCACACUGACGCUGAGGCACGAAAGCGUGGGUAUCGAACAGGAUUAGAUACCCCAGUAGUC
rnacentral:rRNA from 1 species